rnacentral:rRNA from 1 species
UACAGAGGGUGCGAGCGUUAAUCGGAAUUACUGGGCGUAAAGCGCACGUAGUCGGCUUUGCAAGUCGGUUGUGAAAGCCCCGGGCUCAACCUGGGAACGGCGCGCGAAACGGGGGGGCUGGAGUUCGGGAGAGGAGCGUGGAAUUCCCAGUGUAGAGGUGAAAUUCGUAGAUAUUGGGAAGAACACCGGUGGCGAAGGCGGCGCUCUGGACCGAGACUGACGCUGAGGCGCGAAAGCGUGGGGAGCAAACAGG